AGAGUUUGAUCCUGGCUCAGGAUGAACGCUGGCGGCGUGCCUAAUACAUGCAAGUCGAACGAACUUCCGUUAAUUGAUCAGGACGUGCUUGCACUGAAUGAGAUUUUAACACGAAGUGAGUGGCGGACGGGUGAGUAACACGUGGGUAACCUGCCCAGAAGCAGGGGAUAACACCUGGAAACAGAUGCUAAUACCGUAUAACAGAGAAAACCGCCUGGUUUUCUUUUAAAAGAUGGCUCUGCUAUCACUUCUGGAUGGACCCGCGGCGCAUUAGCUAGUUGGUGAGGUAACGGCUCACCAAGGCGAUGAUGCGUAGCCGACCUGAGAGGGUAAUCGGCCACAUUGGGACUGAGACACGGCCCAGGCUCCUACGGGAGGCAGCAGUAGGGAAUCUUCCACAAUGGACGCAAGUCUGAUGGAGCAACGCCGCGUGAGUGAAGAAGGGUUUCGGCUCGUAAAGCUCUGUUGUUAAAGAAGAACGUGGGUGAAAGUAACUGUUCACCCAGUGACGGUAUUUAACCAGAAAGCCA
rnacentral:rRNA from 1 species